rnacentral:tRNA from 1 species
AAGGUGGUAAACUAAGUAAGUAAGUUAUUGGGCUCAUAACCUGAAUAUAGAGAUUUUCUCCCCUUUA